UUUUUCAUGGAUAUUCUUGUGAGACUAUUGUAUUAUCCUGUUUUUACACAGUUAGAACACCGUGUGACUGUGUUAGAAAUCAUCUUUUUGAAUAAUAGUCUUCGCUUAUCUAUAUCCCAUCUCUUUAUAUCCAGGAAAGCACUGACCCAUAGCACAUAGUCAAAUUGCAUUUUUUUUUCUUUUAGGGUCUAUUUCAGCUGUGGAUUUCUCCCAGGAGUGAGAGUGCCUGGACUCUGCUCAGAGGGCUUCGUACAUUGAUGUGAUGUUGGAGAAUUACAGCAACCUGGUUUCUGUCGGAUCCACUGAGAUCAACCAGAGCCCUUUGUGAGACUGUGGGUUUGGAGUUAUGUGCUGGAGCCUGACUGCUCAGCAGAGGAUGACAACUAAAGGCAGUGAUUCUCCAUCCAUCGCCAACGUCUGAGAGGGCUCCCUGAUCACCCAGACCUGCUCUCCUGUGGAACAGAACAAAGAGACCUGGA